rnacentral:lncRNA from 1 species
UCUCAUCCCUGGUCCCCCGUGCUGACGGUGUCAUCACAGCGUGAACACAGCGAACCACACCGGAGUCAACGGCGCCCUCCUCCCUCUCCUCUGCGCCCGCCGAUGCGGGCCGCGUCUUCGUGUCCUCGGCCAUGCUGCGAGCGGCAGCGAUGCGGUUGGCGUCAGCGCCGACGGAGUUCCCGUCUUCUCCCCUGCAUCGCGAGCGUAGUGCCAGCCUGCCUACGUCGGGGUUGCUCGCCACAUGGCCGACCCGGAGGUGGAGACGCUGCGACCAGCUUCAUCACCAAGCUGCAUCCCUGAACCUCCAUAGCGAGCGCUGUAAAUCAGUCUUUUCUUCUUAUGUAUUCCCCACUCUCCUGCGUCAAUUGGCAGCCAAUUAGAUCGAUCUGUCCCUUUAUGCAAUCUUUUCUCUCUAAAAUUAUAUAGGAAAAAAGGAAAGAGAUCUCAUUAUGCUAGCUUUCCUUCUCCAACACGUACUUAAUCUCCAUCAAAUCUCUAAUCUUCCAAACUGAAUAUUUUUUCUAUGCAGAUUCAUGUAUAACCAUCUCUCUGGAAUUCUGGAGUGGCCCGCGGACGAGCAGGAGCAGCUGUCUCACGUCUCGAGCUUCUAUUGCGGACCAUCCGCAGAAGACGCAUAUAUAGAUCCAAUUGCCAGCGUAUAUCCUUUUUGCAAGUCAUGGGUAUCUGCAUGCGUCCCUCCCAAUUACAAUCAGAAUUUCUAUAAGACAUAGAGGUGAUGGCUCCAGAAAUCAGGCGAUUCAGACAAAGAUGUCGGUGACAGAUGGAGGCUUCCAACAUCUCGCCAAAACAAACUGCCGAGUGCCUACUGCCUAACGAAGUAAGUUGGGAAUCAAAUUUGUAAGAUGGUGAGUGGACGUAUUACCUUAUCUUUCAAAUUCUAAUGUGCGUAUUCAUUCCCUACACCUAUAAUUACUUGGCCUACCACUUGCAAGCUGAAUGUGCUUUCCAAUUCAAACCCAUGUGUGACAUAAUAACCAUAAAAAGUUCGAUUUGCUAAACAUCUUCAUUUGUUUUAGCUACGCUCACUGUACAUUUACCAAUGGUUUAGAUGAUAGUUAGUUCAGAACAGUCUCAGUGUUCGAAAUUGAUUCAUUGUUUGCAGUUUUUAGGAUACAAUAUUUUGAACGCAACAGUUUUAGUUCUGCUUUCUCCCAUAUUAGACUCUUUGAUUUAAUUAGUUAGCUCCUGCUGCGCUGAUAUAUUAGGGUUCAGAUUCUGUAGAUGUCUACAGGUUGUCGGACAAGUCUUUCAGACAUUCAUCUAAUCCCCAGGUUCACAAAAACUUCGGGUCCCUUGCAAUUGGUUUUGUAUGUUAUUUCUUCCGAGUAAACACAAACAUUUAGAUUAUCCACAUCAUGGUAGCAUGCUGUGUGUGCGAGCGCGCGCUUAUCUAAUACUUUAGAGCAGGAACUUCAAGAAAUAUAUUAGCAAACUUAAUUACCAUACUAUUUGUACGUAGAUUGAAAAUAGGAUGCAUAAUAUUUAUCUAGAAUUCAAAAUGAUCUUAAUUUCCUACAAUUUCAGUAUGGUCGCGUUGUUUCACAUUUUAACUGCUCCUGCUAUUGCAAGCUAGACUUGAAUUUUGGCUUCUAUAGAUAUGCAGAAUUGAUUCACCUCUCCAUAGGUUUCUACCUCUCUUAAUUCCUCUUCCUAUUGCCACAUAACUACAUUAUUUCUUUGGGGGAAAAUCAACAUAUAGAUACGUUGUCUUUGUACUGAUUCUUCCAUUGAUUUUAUAUACCAUUCCUGCUAUGCACAUGUUCUUCUAUUUUCUUUUGGACCGAUUCUUUCAUUUUGGUUUUCUUCCUAUGCUUGGUUAAUUAACUAGAAUACACUAAUUAGGAAUUACCCAGUCUUCUGCUACAUGUUCACUUGCAUAGAUGGCUUAAUACAUAAGCUAAACCGAUGACUACAUAUAGCACAUACAUUGGGUCAUUUCUCCUAAGAAGGUUAAGCCACCUGAACUUUUAGCUUUAGUUACAAAGAAGUUGCUGAAUGAUCUAACAUUUUUGGGUUCUUACUAAAUCUAAUUAUAAAACAUGUACCAAUGUCAUAAUAAUAUUUUUAUUUUAGAGCUUAAGAUAUACCUUUCAGUUUCAUAUCAUAUUCUUGUAAUGUACUCUCUCUGUAUCAAAAUAAAAGACGUUGGAUUAUUGGUUUCCGCAGGUUUCAGUUUCAUACCAUAUUUUUGUGAGUCACAGCUUAAAAAAACAACUAUGUGCUAGCUAAGGACAUGAACUUAACUGAAACUAUUGAUUGAGUCACAACUUAAAUCAAGAAGCUUUUAUUGCAUGUACUUGUGCUUAUACUUUAGAUAUUUACUUGUGAAACUGUUCUGAUCCCCCAGUUAGAUGCUUGCUGACACACAAUGUUUUUGAGUCGAUGAGUCGACGGGUCGCUCAGAGGGGGCGACUCUAGACUAGUCGUGACUAGUCUAGACUCACGGUCGACGAGUCGACAUGGCGACGAGUCGACGUGAGUUAAGCAGCGGGCAGUCAGGGGAGGAGCACAAGUGCACAGCAGCAACAGCAACCAGGGGAGGAGGGGAGGAGCACACCACCAGCAGCAGUAACUAGGGCCAACUGAGAGAUGGGCCACUAGUUAUGCACUUCCCUGUGGCCCAAAAGCCCAUCUAGUAGCUAUAUACUCCUCUCGUGACCUAAUCCACCAUCCACACUCCCUCCUCCCUCACCACAGCCGCCACACAUUCUGCUGCCACUCUCUUGCCACCAGUCCACCACUCCUCCUAGCUAUGGAUCUCUUAACUCCCCGCAGCAGCUCCUCACUGCUCCUCCUCCCAGCCUGCUCCUCUUGCCGCUGCAGCUUCAACAGCAGCAGCAGCGGCGGCGGCCAGCGCUGCAGUGGGGACGCAGAAGAAGCAGCAGCAACAGCAGCAUCAGCAGCAUGGCGGUGGGAGAGUGCUCCAGAUCCAGCGCUGCCUCGAGUCGUUCGACCCAAAAUCCACGACUAGUCGUGACUAGUCGAGACUAGUUGCGCGAGUCGCUCGACUCAUCCCAUGAGUCGAGUCGAGAGGCUGAGUCGGCCCUGGAACUGCGACUCGUCGACUAGUCGACGACUAGUCGCGACUAGUCGAGCGACUCGAAAUCCAUGCUGACACAGUAUCACUCCAGUUAGUCUAGCGAUAUGUCUUUUUAACAAUGGGGCUGGAAUAAUUGUGUGGCGUAUGUUAUGUUGGACUCAUGAACUAGAAUUGAUUUUUUUAUUUCUUGAUUGUAGGAUCCAAAGAACUAGCUCGAUUGGACUCUAGAUCACGGACAAUUUAGUCUUGGUACUUAAUUAGGAUGGCUAAAUUACAUUUGAGUUUCAUUUGAUGGAUUUUUGCUAUGAGAAUUAUGAAUUCUAUGAAUCUACAUAUUAUACAUAUGGUUUUGAAUAUUGUAAUUGAAUGCCUGUAUUUUUUUACGGUUGCAAUAGGCUAUUACAACAACCCACUUUCGGUUGUCACAUGUUAGCACCAUGAAAAGUUAAAAUUGUUGCAAUAGUUUUUGGCUACAAACAUUUCACCCGUUGUGAUACCUAUUUAUUACCACCGAAACUAGUAUGUUGCAAUUUCCUGUUACGACGACUGGAAUAUUUGUUGCCAUAAGUUAAUGCCACAAGUGCAGCGGUUCGUAGCAAAAUGCCUAAUGCCACGAAAACAAGGAUUGUUGCCAUAGUUUAUUGCCACAAUUGACUAUCGCCACGGAAGAGUAUGCACCACGAAAUGAACGUCAUUGGCAUAGGUUGUUG